GCAUAUGUGGAGCUGUGGAAGUGAGCCAGGCCAGGCCGGAGCCUGUGUUACCCUGCAAGGAAGCAGGCAAAACUAUAAUCGGCAGCGCAGCGAGAGGGAAUCUCUAGUGACUGGAGGUGCACUGCCGGGAAGCGAAAUCUAAGUGGAUAUCUCCAGGAGCGCAGUGGAGGUGUCUAUAAUGUGUGAACUCUAAGUGAGCCGGCUGCCUCAGUCACUGAAUAGCUGCGCAAAUGUAUGCAACCCGAAGCCACCUGACAGAGCGCAUUCAGGGAAACCACUACAACAGCAACGACGACGACGACAGGAAUAAACACCAGCGCAGCAACGAUCAGAGCACAACGCAGAACACCUAUAAAACAUAACAGUUUAUUGGAUCAUCUGUUUAUUUCAUCACA